UACGUAGGGUGCGAGCGUUGUCCGGAAUUACUGGGCGUAAAGAGCUCGUAGGUGGUUUGUCGCGUUGUUCGUGAAAACCGGGGGCUUAACCCUCGGCGUGCGGGCGAUACGGGCAGACUUGAGUACUGCAGGGGAGACUGGAAUUCCUGGUGUAGCGGUGAAAUGCGUAGAUAUCAAGAGGAACACCUGCGGCGAAGGCGGGUUGCUGGGCCGACACUGACGCUGAAGCGCGAAAGCCAGGGGAGCGAACGGG
rnacentral:rRNA from 1 species